rnacentral:rRNA from 1 species
UACGAGUGCGUCGAGCGUUAUCCGGAAUCAUUGGGCGUAAAGGGUGCGUAGGCGGCGCGGUAAGUCGGGUGUGAAAUCUCGGAGCUUAACUCCGAAACUGCAUUCGAUACUACCGUGCUUGAGGACUGGAGAGGAGACUGGAAUUUACGGUGUAGCGGUGAAAUGCGUAGAUAUCGUAAGGAAGACCAGUGGCGAAGGCGGGUCUCUGGACAGUUCCUGACGCUGAGGCACGAAGGUCAGGGGAGCAAACGGG